ACUCCACAGGUAAUGGCAGAGGUCUAAGGAGGACUUCGCCCUGCAAGAGUUUAAAAAUGACGGCUUUGGGAGAUUAACCCACAGGGUACUACUGCUUGUUACUGCUGCUGGGAGAGAAGUGGGGUCUCUCAUCUCCAAAACUGGAGACAAGGAAAUGGAGGCACAGAAAAGUGAAUUGGUCAAAACAGUGCAGCUAAAAAGUGGUAGGGCCAGGGUUUCAGUGCCUAAGGCUUUCCUUAUGCUCUGCUACCUGCUGGAACCAACGCUCUAUAAUCCUGGACUUCAGUUCUCCAUUGGCUUAGACUGUGUCUCUGCUCCCUUCCAGCUCACUUGUCCUCUAAGCCUGGCCUGCGCCCUCUCCCAGCUACAUCCAGGUGGUCCAGUAAAGGCCUGACUGAAGGGGUCAUGUGAGCUGAGACCUGAAGGAGAAAAAUGAGUCAGCUAUGAAUAGAGUCGCCAUGGAAAGAACAUUUCAGAAGGAUGGAGUCAUGAGUGCAAAGACCCUAAGAUCCACUCUUUGCUCUCCUCCUCCAGUUCUGUGCCUGGUAGGCUGACUGACACAGGACUCCCUCCCUACUUGGGCCCCUUUGCUGUCUUCCGGGGAGCAGGAGACUCUGGUAGGAGAUGAGGGGCUGCAAGAGGACACAAGUCGUUUGCAGCCUGCAGUACUAGUAACCUACUGAUCCUGGGACCACCAUCUGCAUCAUCUAUCAGAAUAAAUCCCCUGAAGGAAAACAGAAAUCCUGCAUUAGCAUGGACUCUGGAGGAUGACAUUCAAGCUCCCAGUCUCCUCUCUCUGGCGGACACUUUUCUUGUCAGUCUCCAGAUGAGGAAACUGAGGCCCAGAAAAGCUAAACAUUUCCUGAGCACGCAUAGCCAAUAAUUGUUGGAGCCAGGAUUCAAACUGUCUGAUUCUGAGUUGGUGCUCUUUCUGUAACCUCACCUUCUGCAGUGAGAUCAGAGAGGAGCAGGAGCACUGAUGGUGGGGAUGGAGUAGGAGCAGAACUGACUCUGUCAUGGGCUGAGGUGGGGGUUGUGGCAAGUUAUGGAAAGAAGAUGACACUGGUUGAGACCCUGAAGAAUGAAUGAAGUUCAUUAGGUUACCUAAGGGUGUAACAAUGGGGAAGAGCAUGACUCCACUAGAAGGAAACUCUGCAAGGGUUUGGAGGCAUACAAGGAUAGAGUUGCAGGGAGUCUGUUAUGGUCCUUAUCUGGGCUAAGUUUUGGGGGAAGGGGCCAAAGAUAACCAUUUCAUCUUUUUAACAAAUAUUUGAGUGCCAGGGCACCUGGAUGGCUAAGUUGUUAAGCAUCUGCCUUUGGCUUGGGUCAUUAUCCCAGAGUCCUGGGAUCAAGUCCCACGCCAGGCUCCCUGCUCAGUGGGAAGUCUGCUUCUCCCUCUCUCACUGCCCCUGCUUGUGUUCCCUUUCUUGCUGUCCCUCUCUCUGUCAAAUAAAUAAAUAAAAUCUUUUAAAAGAAUAUUUGAGUGCCAAUGUUGUGCCAGUCUCUGGUGGAGGCACUGGCCAUAUACUGGCAACCAAAAUAGACAGGGGCCCUGUCUAUAUGGGGCUAUCCUUGAGACAGACAUUAAAUGAAUCUAUGAAUAUCCCAACAAACCACAUAUCAUACAUAUCAGCUAGUGAGAUGCUGAGAAUUUAAGUAGUACCAUGAGAAAUAGAUCAUGGGUUAGGCCCCUCUGACGAGGUGACCUUUAAGUUGAUAUCUGAAGACCAAGCAUGAGCCAUGGGGAAGGGCAUUCCAGGUGGGGAGAUAAGCAAGGGCAAAGGCCUAUGGUGGGAAAACUGGGCCAAAGAAUACAUCGCAACCAAACCUACAUUCCAGUGUGCGCUUAUGUUUGUCAUGUGAUCACCCUAGGGGGCCGUGAUGUUUGCCUCCAACAGGUUCAUGCAGGAGGGCCCCAUUUUGGAAAUGUUCCUAAUGUAUUAUGGGUUCCAAAUUACAUAGAAACCACUCACAUGUUCAACCCAAAUCCCUUCCCAAACGGACAGGCAGCCUGGAAUGUUAUUUAGGCCGUGCAUUGUUAAGAUGUGCUUGCUUUGUUUGUUCUGCCUGGGCCCUGUUUCCACCCUUUCCCAUCUGAACAGUUCUGCCAGUGAGCAAAUUGCCAAAUUUUAACCAAAUAGCACCAAUUAUGCUUCCCCCUUUAUUUUCACUGUAGCCAUGAAAAACAAAACUCCAUUAAUAAUCUCCAGAGUGUUCCCUUUCUAAACCUACGUUAAAUGAGGUUUUACCAUUGGGAUCAUUUGAAGACUGUCUGUUUCCAUUAAUUAAACAUGAACUUCUUUUCCCAUCUACCCACCCUGCUCUUGGUUUGGAAUGUUUCUUGGAAGUAAUUUUUAUUGUUUAGCAGGAAAAUUGAGAUGUACAGGCUGUUCAAUUAUUUCCUAUUUACCCAAGAAAAAGCAGGUAGAAGCUAUGAGGAAACAAUGGAAAGUCACAUCCUUUUCCCAGCCUCCAUCCCCUCCCUUGUCCUAUGCCUGCUCAACUUCCAUGUCCCCUUCUGCUCCUUACUUCCGAGUAAGUGCCCUCCUCCUCCUUCCCCUGCCCAUGGGGUGGUCAUGUGACUCAUUCCUGAUGGCCAUGUGACCCAGAGCCAACCAAUCAGCCCCCUCACAGCCACAGGAAUUGAGUCAGGCAUGGACAUGUGAUCUGAGCCAGGUUACUGAGUGUCAGAUCAAGGACUGGUGUUGAAAGAUGGGGGUAAAAGCACCUUUUCUCAUGGGGGGGCUAUUGAGCUGGGAGCAUUUGGGCUUGCAGCUCCUGUUGUCUAUCUUGCAAAAAGCCUGGUCAAGGGAGAAACUGAGACAGAUUCUUGAAAAUAUUUCUUGAAUACUUAGAUGCAUCCAUGUCCUGAAGCCAGUAUAAUCUCAGACUUCUCAAUCAUGUGAACCAAUAAAUAUAAUUUAUUCUUC